rnacentral:rRNA from 1 species
UGAAACCGUCACGGGGGAAGCGGAUCGCGUUGGAUCGGUGGGCGCUCGUGUGUUCAGCCUUCGGGUGCAUUGGCACGAGUGCUUAUCCGCUGUGAGUUUUCGGGGAUCGAUUUUGGAUCCCUGGAGGCUGAGGGCUCCCUUUUUGAGGUGAGGACAGCGGAGUAACGACGCGAUACGACCCGUCUUGAAACACGGACCAAGGAGUCUAGCGCGGGUGCGAGUCGGAGGGUGCAAGCCCGUGGGCGAAGUGAAAGCGAGUGUAAAAACGAGCAGUUUGGGGCGGCAUAAGAUCGUUGAUCUUAAGACCGACCCAGAGCAGUUGCGCUGGGACCCGAAAGAUGGUGAACUAUGCCGGAGUAGGGCAAAGCCAGAGGAAACUCUGGUGGA